AACGAACGCUGGCGGUAUGCUUAACACAUGCAAGUCGAACGAACAAAAUUGGGGCUUGCUCCAAUUUUAGUGAGUGGCAAACGGGUGAGUAACACGUGGGAAUCUACCUAUCAGUACGGAAUAACAUUUGGAAACAGAUGCUAAUACCGUAUAUUCUCUAAGGAGGAAAGAUUUAUCGCUGAUAGAUGAGCCCGCGUAAGAUUAGGUAGUUGGUAGGGUAAUGGCCUACCAAGCCGACGAUCUUUAGCUGGUCUGAGAGGAUGAUCAGCCACACUGGGACUGAGACACGACCCAGACUCCCACGGGAGGCAGCAGUGGGGAAUAUUGGACAAUGGGCGAAAGCCUGAUCCAGCAAUACCGCGUGAAUGAUGAAGGCCUUAGGGUUGUAAAGUUCUUUUAGUUGGAAAGAUAAUGACGGUACCAACAGAAAAAGCCCCGGCUAACUCCGUGCCAGCCGCCGCGGUAA
rnacentral:rRNA from 1 species